AAGGAAGAAGUAUCUCGGUAUGUAUACUUCUAUCAGCAGGGAAGAAAAUGACGGUACCUGACUAAGAAGCCCCGGCUAACUACGUGCCAGCAGCCGCGGUAAUACGUAGGGGGCAAGCGUUAUCCGGAUUUACUGGGUGUAAAGGGAGCGUAGACGUAUGGUCAAGUCUGAUGUGAAAGCCCGGGGCUCAACCCCGGGACUGCAUUGGAAACUGUCCGUCUUGAGUCCCGGAGAGGUAAGCGGAAUUCCUAGUGUAGCGGUGAAAUGCGUAGAUAUUAGGAGGAACUCCAGUGGCGAAGGCGGCUUACUGGACGGUAACUGACGUUGAGGCUCGAAAGCGUGGGGAGCAACCAGGAUUAGAUCCCCUGGUAGUCCACGCCGUAAACGAUGAAUAUUAGGUGUUGGGAAGCAUUGCUUCUCGGUGCCGUCGCAAACGCAGUAAGUAUUCCACCUGGGGAGUACGUUCGCAAGAAUGCAACUCAAAGGAAUUGACGGGGACCCGCACAAGCGUCGGAGCAUGUGGUUUAAUUCGAAGUAACGCGAAAAACCUUAUCAAGUCUUGACAUCCUUCUGACCGGUAGUUAAUUGUACCUUUUCUUCGGAGCAGGAGUGACAGGUGGUGCAUGGUUGUCGUCAGCUCGUGUCGUGAGAUGGUGGGUUAAUGUCCCGCAACGAGCGCAACCCUUAUCUUUAGUAGCCAGCGGUCCGGCCGGGCACUCUAGAGAGCCCGCCAGGGAUAAUCUGGAGGAAGCCGGGGAUUAAGUCAAAUCCUCAUGCCCCCCAUGAUUUGGGCUGCACACGUGUUACAAUGGGGAAAACAAAGGGAAGCGAGCCUGCGAGGGGGAGCAAAUCCCAAAAAUAACGUGUCAGUUUGGCUCGUAGUCCGCAACUCGACUACAUGAAGAUGGAAUCGCUAGUAUUGGCAGAUAAGAAUGAUGCAGGUGAACCAGUUUUCGUCUUGAGCCAUCACCACCCUUCA
rnacentral:rRNA from 1 species